rnacentral:rRNA from 1 species
AGUCGGACCUGCCCAAUGAGGAUUUAAAUGGCCGCAGUAAUUUGACUGUGCAAAGGUAGCAUAAUCACUAGUUUUUUAAUUGAAAGCUUGAAUGAAAGGUUUAAUGAAAAAAUAACUGUCUCUAGAAAAAUUUAUUAAAAUUUUAUUUUUAAGUAAAAAAGCUUAAAUGAUUAUAGAAGACGAGAAGACCCUAUAGAGUUUUAUAUUUUAGUAGAAUAUGAUUUUUUUAGUGUAUAAAAGAUGUAUUUUAAAGAAGUAUUUUGUUGGGGUGAUAAAAAAAUUAAAGAAACUUUUUUUUUAUUUUUACACUGAUAUGUGAGUAUGUGAUCCUUAAGUAAAGAUUAAAAGAUAAAAUUACCUUAGGGAUAACAGCGUAAUUUUUUUUAGAGUUCUUAUCGAAAAAAAAGAUUGCGACCUCGAUGUUGGAUUAAAAUAAAUAAUUGGUGAAGAAGCUAGUUUAUUAGGUCUGUUCGACCUUUAAAAUUUUACAUGAUCUGAGUUUAGACCGGCGUGAGCCAGGUUGGUUUCUAUCU